rnacentral:lncRNA from 10 species
GUUAGGUGUCUGAGCUCAGACUCUCCUUGGAUGGGACUUGCUGCUACUGCUGUGGGAGAUGGGAGUGUGGUUCUCAGGCCAAUUAGAGUUACCUUCCCAGGGGGAUUAUGGCUUCCACUAGUGUGUCAUGCAGGUUGCCAGGGAAGUUGGGGAAAGCUGGCAGUUACAGGCCUUACACAGCUCCCCCAAAGCAGCCCAAAAGGCCAGUCUUACUCCCACUGUGCCCCCACAACAGGACCAGGUUUGUUUCUAGGCAACAGGUGAGCAAGGCUGAGAAAGCAAGCAGGGCUUUUAGGCUUCCUGCCUCCCCGCCUGCUGCCCCACCUCCUACAGCUUCUGUGCUGUGUCUGCACUCCCAAUUCACCCCCUCCCCUGAGUUCUGUCCAGGAAACUUUGCAUUCAGUUGAAAUUAUUACGCAGUACAGCUGGAAGUUCCCUUCUCCCUGUGGUCUUUUCCCAGUUCCUCUGACAGCCAUCCCCAAGGACCUCUUCAAGACAAAGUCAGAAAUUGAUUCCCUGGGGACCGAGAGAGCCCACAGGGCUCUUCUUGCUGCUUCUUCUAUCCCUGUAUUUCACUCAGCUCUCCAAAUUUGUCUCAGCUCCAGAUGGUGUCAGAAUUGGAACAUGAAGUAGAACUUCCAGUAACCCCUAGGAGCAUCAAGUGACCCAGAGAGGUAACCCCCUCCACCAGGGUCCAUUGCAUCCAUUGCUCUCUCACAGCAACUGAGGCUCAUGGGACUGGAGUGGAGUCGGUAGGAAGGAACAGUCUUUGAAGUUAGAUGCGCCAGGUUGUAACCCCACUUCCACCAAUUGUGGUAACUUUGUGAGACAAGCCUCAAAUUUUACCACUGUACCAAGAAAUGAAAGCCAGAAUGUGGAAUUGGAGCUGGUAAUGACGACGUCAGGACAGGUUCAAAGGAAGCCCAUCACUUGAGUAAAAAUUUAUAGCCCUGCUUGUGCUGUGCUGUGCUGUGCUGUGAGUUUCAGUUCCGGGCCAGCAAAAGAUUUAUCAAAGGAAAGCAACAAGGUGUGUGGAAAUAGAAGGGGCUCUUCAAUGACCAAAGGCCAUAAGAGACUGGAAGGCAAAAGGACCCAUUAAUGUAAUCCAAACAUCAGUCUCCUGCAGCAAAGAGGUGAAUGGAGAAGGGUGGAGAGUAGCUGUGGACGAGUGAAAAAGACAUCGCACCAUGUCUUCAAAUUACAUCCAGCAACUUCAUAUGAACUAUGAAACCCUUGUUGCCACAAUAGUCCCUCUUUGUUUGAACUACUACAAGAAUAAAGAAAUUUCUUUCUAAUCUUUUGCAGAAGAAUUACAUAGACUCUCACUUACUGCUCUUGUUUCAUAGGUGGCUGAUUUUCCAAUUAUAUUAAAUACUUUUGGAAGGGCUGGGACUACAUCUAAUUUCUUGAAAAGUCUGGUGCUGUGGAAGACCAAGACCCAGACUGUUGAGGUCAGCCUAAUGUAAUGUGAAAUAUCUAAACUCUGCGUACUUCUUUACCAUGAGUGUAUAGAUAAAAUAUCAUUGCAUUUAAGGAAAUUGCUUAAAGCCUCACAGUGAAUAAAGUUGACAAAACAUGUAGACUUAUUGCAGAUUUUAUGCAUUUAGGUUUUAUGGCUUCAUUUGCAAUCAGGACUCCCCUCCCCUCCCUUCCUCCCUUCCUUCCCUUCCCUUCCCUGUCCUUCUUUCUUUCCUUUCCUUCCCCUUCCUUCCUUCUCCUCGUCCUGUUU